UAUGUGAUCGUCUCUCGCAUAUCAAUAAGCGGAGGAAAAGAAACUAACAAGGAUUCCCCUAGUAACGGCGAGUGAAGCGGGAAGAGCUCAAAUUUGAAAUCUUAAAGGGUUUCCCUUUACGAAUUGUAGUUUAAAGAAGUGUUUUCUGUUGAGGUUUUGGUAAAAGUUCUUUGGAAUAGGACAUCAUAGAGGGUGAGAAUCCCGUAUUUGACCUUUACUUUCAACUUUGUGAUACACUUUCAAAGAGUCGGAUUGUUUGGGAAUGCAGUCCAAAAUGGGUGGUAAAUUUCAUCUAAAGCUAAAUAUUGGCGAGAGACCGAUAGCGAACAAGUACCGUGAGGGAAAGAUGAAAAGAACUUUGAAAAGAGAGUUAAACAGUACGUGAAAUUGUCAAAAGGGAAGCGUUUGACACCAGUGUUGUUUUUCUGAAAAUCAAUUAAAGAACUGUUUAUGCUAAGCUGUUUAGACUUUAUCAGCUAACUGUUUAGUUUUGAGCUUUUCUUUAAUGCACUUUUCAGUUAACAAGUCAACAUCAAUUUCUUUUGCUGUAAAAAAGCUUGAGGAAGGUGGCUUGAGAUUCGUCUUAAGUGUUUAUAGCCUCUUGCCUAUGCAGUCGGAGAGAUAGAGGUCUGCAGCGUAGAUCCUUCGGGGCUAAAUGCAUUUGUGCUAAGUUAUAGCAUUUUAUAGACAACUUGUUGACUAUGAUUUGUCUUGUAGCUUACUCGCUUAUGUUAUUUUACCUACGCUUAGGAUGUUGAUCUACAGAGCGAGAGU
rnacentral:rRNA from 1 species